rnacentral:tRNA from 1 species
GCUUUGGUAGUUGAAUAACAACAACGGCGGUUUUUCGGAUCGCAGGUUUUGGAUUAAUAGGCCAAACUGAAGUA